rnacentral:pre_miRNA from 1 species
CAAAUACUCCCUCCGUCCGGAAAUACUUGUCAUCAAAAUGGAUAAAAGGAAAUGUAUCUAGACGUAUUUUAGUUUUAGAUACAUCUCUUUUUAUACAUUUUGAUGACAAGUAUUUUCGGACGGAGGGAGUAGAAA